CUUCCAGUAGCACCUUAGAGACCAACUAAGUUUGUUAUUGGUAUGAGCUUAGUUGGUCUCUAAGGUGCUACUGGAAG